GCAGCAACACGGAUGCAGCUGAAGGCCAUUAUCCUAAACAUAUUAAUGCAGGAACAGAAAAUCAAAUACUCAAUGUUUUCACUUAUAAGUGGAAGCUAAAUAUUGAGUACACAGGGACAUAAAGAAGGGAACAUUAGACACUGGGAACUACUGAAG